rnacentral:rRNA from 1 species
AGUGAACGCUGGCGGCAGGCCUAACACAUGCAAGUCGAACGGCAGCACAGGAGAGCUUGCUCUCUGGGUGGCGAGUGGCGGACGGGUGAGGAAUACAUCGGAAUCUACCUAUACGUGGGG